CUCGUUUCUUUCUCUGGUCCCUGAAGGGGUAAGAUAUAUAGAAACUCCAGAUGCCCAGAGAAGUGAUAAGGCUGCAAUAAUGGGGCUUUUCUUUACUCCACUGCAAACCAGUAGUAGUAAUAUUCGUCCAUUUGGACUUUAAAGGUAAAGUAGAAGAAGGACCGUGCCUGUUUUGAUGCCUGAUGAAGCCACAGAAAGUUCUAGAAAAAUAAGAAACCUGGAAGGGACUGACCCCGAGAAAGUUGAAGGAGUGGGUGCAACUUCCUCCAGAAAUUGCUGCAUUCCAGAAAACCUGGACCAAGCCUGGGACUUGUUACGUCACUUUGGCUUUGAUUUAUGUACUCAUGCAUUUAUUGUUAACUUUCUAAAAGGGAUCUCAGAAGGAAAAAAACAAAACAAAACAAAACAAUGAAGCCGGUUCUUCAAAGGCUAUGAAAAGAUGAUCCCACUCCACUUAAGCAGAGGACUAAAAUCCAACCUCACCAGAAAAUAUUUGCCCCUCGGGGAGCACUAUCCAAAGCAGGACCUCUAAGAAGACGCUUUCUGUGGCAUCUCCUGCCUACUGGGAAAGGUCAAAUGUUGGCCACUAGAUUUAUUUUUUUGACUUGACUUCAAAGAGGUCUAGUGCUGAAAGAGGCCCGCCCUGCCUAAUGUCCACUAGGCCACUGGCUCUCAAUGAUUGAAAGCUGGUGUUAUCCCAAUAGAACUAGAAGAUACGUAUCUCACCUAAAAAGUAGAAGCGUGUCCUCCACCUCUCCCUCCUGGAACAUACUGCCUCCAUAGCCAAAGGGAGGUUUAUAGCCUUCUCACCGUUCUGCGAUCCAGUAACUUGUCUCAAAUAUUCAUUAGAAAUAUAAUAAAGCCACGGAUGUAAGGACCUCAGCGGUGUUACUGGGGUUGACCCAAUGUACAACUAAACCAUCUCCUAAAGACCAGAGAGAUAGUUAGCAAGGGGCCUUUCCAGAAGGUUCUGUAACCCCUAUAGCCCCCAUUCUAUUGGGACACUGGAGUUAAGGACAAGGAAUAGAGAUGGGUGGUACUGGAUUUGUAAUUUGUAGGGCAUAUGGAUGACCCAGAUUCUACUGGAAAGAGCUUCAGAGCAGAGUUCUUUGGUUUCUGAUCUUUCCUCAUGGGGAAAGGGACCAAGAGUAGUAUCUGGCUCUGGCAGAAAGCUGGUCUAAAAGCUAGAAGUAUCCAGGAUAGAGGGCUGAGAGAUGGGAAGGCCUCAAAAGACAGUGUUCUUUUUUUUUUUUAAUAGAUUUUAUUUAUUUAUUCAUGAGAGACACAGAGAUGCAGAGACAUAGGCAGAGGGAGAAGCAGGCUCCUUGCAGUCCCAAUGUGGGACUCGAUCCCAGGACCCCAGGAUCACGACCUGAGCCAAAGGCAGAUACUCAACCGCUGAGCCACCCAGGCGUCCCAUAAGACAUUGGUCUUUAAAAGGUGUUGUCCUAGGUGCUCUGGCUUGGAGGAAAGAGCCAGGGAUGAGGAUGAUCUUUCUGCUGCAAACAGCAGCAACGACAUGCACACCAGUACAAAAAACAAACCUGAUUGCUCAUGCUGUGUAUUUUAAUCUGUCUGGGUUAUGCUCUCAUUGCAUGAGGCAGAGGGACCUGGUGGGAAGGCUCAGCUAGUUUUCUAACCAGAGCAUAUGCCAACCUUGCUUGGGGAAGUCCAUGCCCCAACUUUAAAGGUCAGUUGGUGAGCUUCACAUUCAGUAAGCUCUUCCUGAUGACCCCAUUUAAAAUUUUAUUCUCCUUUGAAGAACCAUGGCACAAGAUACAUGGGCACAAAUUUUUCUCUGGAAAUUUCCCUGUCUCUGUAGGAGUAAACUAAAAUAGGUACUUUUUUUUUUUUUUUAAACCUCUCCAGCUACUGGGGACAGCAAGGACUUUUGCCAUUUAAUUUUUAUUAUCCAGCUCAUGAAAAUGUAUUUCUUAAUCUCCUAGCUACAGAUACUCCUGAUCAGAAAAAGCAUAAACUGAUAUGUCCCCUGUACUCCAGGAGCAUAUCAUUUAAAACUAACAACAUGGCAUAUACAACAGAGGGACGUGUGGAAAAUACCCAAAGAGCCAGCACCAGUGGCAGGAUGAAGACAUGUGCUUUGGUCUAGGAGGAAGAAGAGAAGGAACCGUGUGAAUGGCAGAGGCUGCUAGGUAUGUAAGUGUAAGGUGAAAAUCCUUACCUUAUAUCCACUUUGGUCAAAUUUAUUUGGAGAAAAUGACGAAGCCAGUAUUUUUAGCCCUUUUGAUUGCCAAAUGGGAUUACCUGGCUGGUUUGGCCAAUAAAGAUAGUAACAAUGAAGGUGACUGAUCACAAAAUGACAUGACCUUCAUCAUCAGAAGACUUUAAGGAGAAGACAGCUUUGAGGGUCUCAUCCAACAUGGGUGAGGAGGGUCUGAUGCGUGGAGAGAGCUAUUCCAAAUGUCUGGCCUACAAAGGAGGGAAAAAGCACAGCUGCUGUGGCCCUGCCCUGGAGAAGCAAGUGGAUCUAAUAAGCUGGAUGCUUUGUAGGUAACCUUGCUUUCCAUGGGUACGCUUGAGGAAAAAUGAGAAUUUUCCAUGCUCUGAAGACCAGGGCUCCUCAGCUCACAUUACCUGGCAGUGAGCUCCUGGGCUCAUUCGACAGUGCUUGGAUGCUGACAAAAAAGGUGGCAGGCUCUGGAUGUCAUGUCUGCUGGAAGCUAGUUUCCACCUUGCUCUGCACCCUUGGGUAUGCCACUUGACCUUCUUAGCUUCUUUUUCCUUAUUAGCAAAAGAAAUGAGUUGGACUAGAUGUGCUCUAGGAGCCCUUCCAAAUUUCCAAUUCUAUGAAUCAGGCGUACUUUAAAACACACAUGCUUCUUCAGUUGGGAAAAUAGCAAUGAUGAAGCUCUGAAAAGAUAAUCUCUUGUUUUCCCCAAUUAGUUCUGCCUUUGUGAAUGUGGAGGGGGAAACCUUUGCAAAUCAGUGCCUCUGGGAGAAAGGAGAAAUGGAAGAGACCUACCUGAGGUGUAGGGGCGGGGCAGACACCCUGUGUGGACGGGGCUACUGCGGGGCUGGGGGCAUCAGUGGUGGUCACCCAUGUGCCCCUGUAAUCCUCCCAGGAGAGGGGGGUCUCCAUAGUGUCCCUGCUCAACACCUCCCUUCAGGGGCCUCUGGGGCGCAUCAACCAGAUUUGUCCUGUCCCUGCCUAUGGCUUCAGGCAUCACCUAGUGCUCUAGGGCUGCCUGCUUUCUGCCCUUCAUACAGGAAAAACUUUUUUUUUUUCAUGAUUAUCAAAGUAAUACACACCACUUUGGACAAAUAGGAAGGCACAGAAAAAUAUUAAGAAAUGCAAAACCCCAAAUCAGUUAUAAUCCAAUCACCCAGUUCACAUUUCACACAUUUAAGUGCUUUUUUCUUCUAGUGAUUUUUUUUUCUUCUUCUUAACAUGAAUGUACACAUUUUGUGACUGGCUUCUUUGGGGCUCAAUCUCACAUGUUCCUGCAUCAUUAAAUGUCUCCAGCCUCCCUGUCAUUCCCACUGCUUCCCAGUGCUGACACGCCUCUUUGGUAGCCUCCAAGUCAGGGCACUCUAACCUCCACUCCUCACUCGUGCCAGUUACCUGCCCAAAGUGCAGCCACUCUCCAUUUGUUUUGAGUCUCAUGAUUCUUUGGGCCCUGUGUCUUCCAUGAUGCCUUCCAGGACACCUGGGAGGGCCCUCCUCAUCAUCCUUCCCUCCCUAACGUCCCUUCCCUUCCUUGGGCUCGCUUUGAUCAUCAACAUGUGCUGCUCUGGAGACUUAGGCCCCCCUCUAUGUAGAUGUCCCUCAGGCAGUAGUGUGAUGAGAAUAUUUAAUAACAGUCUCCCUGGGGGGGGGGAAUAGAUACAUAUAUAUGUUUAUCAUAUAUUAUAUCCAUACCAAGGAUGUGUAUUAUACAAUUUACAAAUAAUAAUAAAAUAUCCAGUACCCUUUAUUGUAACCUCCAUGUAGCCAGUUGCGUCUCCCAGAAUGCCCCCAAUGAUUUUCGCAUUUUCGCAUUCUAUCAUUAGCCAACCCAUGGUGGAUUAUUUUCAUUUACAUUAAUUAGCAAGACAAAAAUGAAACAAUGAGGAUGUGUACUGGAACUUCAAUCAUUCAGUCAUGACAUGAGCUACUUCUUUGGUGUGUCAGGUAAUUGGUUUUGAAUUCUAGAAGAAUAUGUUCUCUAUUUUUGUCUUAUUUAUGAUUGGAACAACUAGAGACACAAUACACUUUUACAUUUAAUCUUCAUUAUUAAUAUUUUCUCCAUGGCUUUCUUAAGUCUAGACCAGGGGCUGGCAACUUAUGGCCUGCCGCUGUUUUUGUAAAUAAAGUUUUAUUGGAGCAUG